AUUACCGAGUUAUUCAACUCAUCAACCCUGUGAACAUACCUAAACGUUGCUUCGGCGGGAAUAGACGGCCCCGUGAAACGGGCCGCCCCCGCCAGAGGACCCUUAACUCUGUUUCUAUAAUGUUUCUUCUGAGUAAAACAAGCAAAUAAAUUAAAACUUUCAACAACGGAUCUCUUGGCUCUGGCAUCGAUGAAGAACGCAGCGAAAUGCGAUAAGUAAUGUGAAUUGCAGAAUUCAGUGAAUCAUCGAAUCUUUGAACGCACAUUGCGCCCGCCAGUAUUCUGGCGGGCAUGCCUGUUCGAGCGUCAUUACAACCCUCAGGCCCCCGGGCCUGGCGUUGGGGAUCGGCGGAGCCCUUUGUGGGCACACGCCGUCCCCCAAAUACAGUGGCGGUCCCGCCGCAGCUUCCAUCGCGUAGUAGCUAACACCUCGCGACUGGAGAGCGGCGCGGCCACGCCGUAAAACACCCAACUCUUCUGAAGUUGACCUCGAAUCAGGUAGGAAUACCCGCUGAACUUAAGCAUAUCAAUAAGCGGAGGAA
rnacentral:rRNA from 1 species